UGGCUCAGGAUGAACGCUGGCGGCGUGCCUAAUACAUGCAAGUCGAACGCGAGCACAUGUGCUCGAGUGGCGAACGGGUGAGUAAUACAUAAGUAACCUGCCCUUUACAGGGGGAUAACUGCUGGAAACGGUAGCUAAGACCGCAUAGGUAUGGACACUGCAUGGUGACCAUAUUAAAAGUGCCUCAAAGCACUGGUAGAGGAUGGACUUAUGGCGCAUUAGCUAGUUGGUGAGGUAACGGCUCACCAAGGCGACGAUGCGUAGCCGACCUGAGAGGGUGACCGGCCACACUGGGACUGAGACACGGCCCAGACUCCUACGGGAGGCAGCAGUAGGGAAUUUUCGGCAAUGGGGGAAACCCUGACCGAGCAACGCCGCGUGAAGGAAGAAGGAAUUCGUUCUGUAAACUUCUGUUAUAAAGGAAGAACGGCGGAUACAGGAAAUGGUAUUCGAGUGACGGUACUUUAUCAGAAAGCCACGGCUAACUACGUGCCAGCAGCCGCGGUAAUACGUAGGUGGCAAGCGUUAUCCGGAAUUAUUGGGCGUAAAGAGGGAGCAGGCGGCAGCAGAGGUCUGUGGUGAAAGACUGAAGCUUAACUUCAGUAAGCCAUAGAAACCGGGCAGCUAGAGUGCAGGAGAGGAUCGUGGAAUUCCAUGUGUAGCGGUGAAAUGCGUAGAUAUAUGGAGGAACACCAGUGGCGAAGGCGACGAUCUGGCCUGUAACUGACGCUCAGUCCCGAAAGCGUGGGGAGCAAAUAGGAUUAGAUACCCUAGUAGUCCACGCCGUAAACGAUGAGUACUAAGUGUUGGAUGUCAAAGUUCAGUGCUGCAGUUAACGCAAUAAGUACUCCGCCUGAGUAGUACGUUCGCAAGAAUGAAACUCAAAGGAAUUGACGGGGGCCCGCACAAGCGGUGGAGCAUGUGGUUUAAUUCGAAGCAACGCGAAGAACCUUACCAGGUCUUGACAUACCUCUAAAGGCUCCAGAGAUGGAGAGAUAGCUAUAGAGGAUACAGGUGGUGCAUGGUUGUCGUCAGCUCGU
rnacentral:rRNA from 1 species